AAACGACAUGCAUACCCAAAUCGAGUAAGGUUUUCUUUCAAUUUCUGUAUAAUUUUCUUCUCUUUUUAUCCAUCCUCUCAAUUGUUAUUUUUUUCUUUUUAUUUGUUUCCCUUUAUAUUUUUCAAGUAUCGACGUCGACCUGUAUCCUACCUGUUCCUGCCAUUACCUUACAAAAUUUAAAAUUUUAGCUCUUUUCGUUUCUAAGUGCUUUGUUGUUAUCUGAUGAUGCCUAAUCGGUGGACGUGUUUGGUGUUCUAUAAUUUUAGGUAUUCCUUCUAUUUUCUUGUUUGUUAUAAUUCUUGUCAAUAACAUUACCAUAUUCUUCAAGCUUAAAUCUCUCACAAUGAAAAAAUUUAGAAAUACAAAUAAAAUUUAUAAAAGAAUGAUAUGAAUGCAUCAAUAGGAUUGAGAGCGACUUCUGGAAUCAGAUGAAUAACUAAUUUCAUCAACCAGAUAAAGCUAUAUGUUCAUUUUGGCAUAUGGGUUCUUGUAUGAUGAAGCCCCUUUGAAAUACGAAGAUAUUUUAUAAGCUUGCUCAUAUGGCAUCUCCUAAUAUGUUUAAAUCUAUGCAAUUGAUGUUUUCCUACGUCUGUCAGCCAUAUAUUUUGUGAUGUUAAUAGGCUGCAGUAUUUUGGUUUACACCAUACUUUAAUUUUAGCAGCGAGUAUUAUAAUUAGCUUGGAUUGGAAAUAGUUGAAAUUCUCAUUAAG
rnacentral:misc_RNA from 1 species